CUCUCUUUUACUCUCUGAGUUAUAAGUGCUAUAGGAGCUAUGGAAGCCGACUUUCCAUCAUCGACAUUAAUGGAACGGGAUGAAAGACGCGACACUAUAAAGUAUCAGAAUCUAGAACUUGAUGAACAUGUUGAUCAAUUGCCAAAAUCUAACCGUAUUCGUUCUUUUUAUUUCGUGAAAUAUCGGAUAUAUCAAAAUCGCGAGCUAGAAACCAAAAUUUAUCAGGCUGAAGAGCAGAUAAAACUUUUGGACCAAGCUUGCGAACUGAUUCGUGGAAUAAUAUUAGAACAAAAAAAGCUUAAUGAUGAUGGCAAUAGAGGAUGAUUGAGGUUGCAGUUGUUUGAUUUAGUCCCUGAAGAUGACAGAUACAAGAAUGUCAUAAAUGAGAAAAGGACUAAAAUAGACUAUAUACGUCAGGCUGGUGUAGGGAGACUUCGGGCUAUAUUAAGUCGGGAGGAGGGUGAUGAUGAUAAAUGCUUAUCGGAGAGAGAGCUUAAUAAUCGUGUAAGUUUAAACAGGAAGAAGUAAUUUGUUUUUCCAUUACUAAUUAGACAAAAUGUUAUAUGCUGUAUCGCACAUUC